UCUCUCUGUCUCCCUCCUUCUCUUUUCCUCUCUUUCUCCCUCUCUCCCUCCCUCUCUCUCUCCCUGAGUCUUACACAUAAUCAGCAUUUUUGUUUUCGGCUGUCCCAGUCAUUUCCUACCUUGGGCCGGUUCUGACAUGCACAAGGCCUUUACACUGAACCCACAUUGUGUGUGUUGCAUGACCUCAGCCGUCCCACCCGGCGGAGUCUGUGAGGGACUUACAAUGCUGCUUUGACUCACUACAAAGCCCCUUCCUCUCCAUUUAGGAUUUCUUACAUUUUUCCCCCUUCCAUUUAAAAUUCUUCUUCCCAUUUAAAUAAAAAAAACCUUUUUUUUUUUUUUUUUAUUAAGACCAUAAAGGAGAAAGAGGGAGUUGGCCCAGGGAACUAAGAAAAUUGAGAGUAGAGUUUAAAGGAAAGCCAUAAAACUGCUUUGUGGUUACAUCUCCUGCCAAUUGGUUCCAGCAUUAAAACAGAGCUAAAAGCGCAAACUCAGAAGAAAAAAAAAAAAAAGCCUGAAAAUUCUCCCUAAGGUUCAAAGAUGUGACCAAUCAAGACCUUUCCUGCUCAGGAAGGCGGCAGGCGCAGGGAGUUACUGGAAGGAACUGAGAGCCCCAGCCCUGACAUAACCCAGGAUUCCAGGAUGAGUUAUCUAUUUUCUUUAUCUCAGAAGGAAUGUCUCAUAUUAUUAUUGCAGCAAUACAGGGAUUUGGGCCAAAUAUUUAGCUCAAGAAAAGACAGCUUUCCCAUGGAGCUGGAAUCUCGAGUACAUGAGGGCUUUGCUAUCCGUCAGAUCUGUUUGUUUCAUUACGAGGGCCCUCGUAACAAACCAUUCCGUACACAACGUAGGAAAGUCUGAGCACACUGGAAAACCUGACCAGUCCUGCAGCCCCCGGAGUGUGCUGUAAGGCUUGAGCAUGUGCAACUCAUUUUCUAGUUAAGUAAUUCCCUCUGGGGACUUGGUGUGCAAUGCACAAGAAGGAUCCAAUUUCAUUAGCAGAUGCAGGAAAAUACAACCCUGUGCAUUUGCAAGUCAAAACUCCGGAAAGCUACGCUAGUCUGGCUCUCAACGCUGCUUUUUCCUGGGAGAGGAGUUUAGCUGAUAAAAAACAUUUGUUGGGAGGCACAGAUGAGCAAGUUGAGAAGAGAGGGGGCUCAGCUAGGGCAGAGACAACCAAGCCUCAGUCUUAAAGCUCAACUCUGGCCUUAACUCUCAGCCUGCAGCUGCGUUCCAAGCAGAUAGCGAUUCAAGCAGCAGUCUGACCCCCAAGGCUGUAGACGACAAAAGACUCAGGAAGACAAAUUAAAAGGGGUGCCUGGUGUCCGAGGAGGCCAGAAGAGGGCAUCAGAUCCCCUUGGACUGGAGUUACAGAUGGUUGUCAGCUGCCAAGAGGAUGUUGGGAACUGAACCUGUGUCUGCUAGAAGAGCAGCUGGUGUCCUUAACCACUGAUCCAUCUCUUCCUCCUUAAGAUGGCGUUUCUCUGUGUGGUUCAAGCUAGACUCCACCUUCUGGGCUUCACUGACCCUUCUUCUGUGUGGUAGCACAGGCUACCACAGAGGCUGUGAAGCUCAAGAGACCCAACCUUCCUGCAGCGUGCAGGAUUAAACCUAUGGCCAUACCUGCGCUGGGCACGUGCUCCUCACUGGACUUUCUUACCAUCUCUCAAGUGUAGCGCCAGAAUUCAGGCCUCGGACUUUGUUUGGAAAAGUGGGAAGGGCACUUUGAAGACUCAAGUUGAGGGGGAAAACAAAAAACAAAAAAACCCACUUGCAAUGGCAUUCUCUAAGCAAGACCCAGUGUGGGGUGGUGGCACUGUAUGCAAUUUCUGGUACUCAGGAGAAUCUGUGUCCAAGGCCAGCCUGGGCUACACAUUAAAACCUGCUCUCAAAAAAAAAAAAGAGUUCUAUAAUUAAAAUCUCAUGCCACUCCCUUCCCAGAGUUCUGGUAGUCAUCUGGGACCACAGAUGACCAUCCCAUCCCCUCUCCCUCACAUAUGGAAUCUAAUCUUGCAACUGUUCACUCCCCACAGCUGUGAGGCAGGCAGCUGACAGAGGACACUAAAAUUAUCUGGAGGAUAAUCACAGUGUCUGAAAUAUUUCUAAGGCCAGAAAACAGAGUUCCUGAGCGAUGACCCUUGCUUGUGUGCUUUCGGAUAGAGAGAGGAACUCUGGGCCUAAAGAAGAAAACACGGGAACUCCCAAGGUUAGGUUUAUUUUAUUAUUUCUAGAACAAUUUCACCACAAAAAUGUCAAAGAGAAGCAAAAGAGGAAGCCAUCAAGGAAGGUCUGAGAGCCUCUUUCAUUGCUGUUAUUAAAUAAGCCCCCCUCCCCCCCCACACCCCUAAUUCCGUACCCUCUUUAGCACGGGGAUUCAGUGGUAAAAGGGUGCUGGCUCAGCCAGAGCCAUGAUAUGGGGAAGAGGACACAACUGGUGGGGGCUGAGGGAUCGGUGGGCCGGACUGACCAGUUCCUCAGCAUGUGACUAACCUCGUGACCGACCUUUAAUCACAAAUUCCUUAUAGGCCAGAGUGGGACAAAGGUUAGGCAGGUGUGGUUUCAAACUCUGUCAGCUGCUGGGUGCUCUUCUCAGUGCUAAUCUACUCAGAACCUAAAACAAAACCGCCAUCAGGGCAGGGUCUGGGCUCAGCCCUUCCAUCUCUCCAGAACUGGCAGUGGAGGCUCUUCCGAGGACCUCAGGGAAGACGACUCAAAAAUAACAGGGCCAGAUUCCCUUUAACUUCAAAAAUAUUGAUUCAAACAGGAAACCAAACUCUGCCAGUUAACCUUUAUCAAGAGAAGAAUCAUAUGAUGCUGAAACCACAGGGAAGGGAACCCAAAGCUCUUCAAGCUGCCGUUAAUAGGACCUUUCUUAUGCCAGGGGCGAUGGUUUACAAAGCAGAGAUCUAAAAGUGUAUAAAUUUAUAAAGAGCUAAGUGUGGAGAUAUAAAGAGCCUGAGACUUAGGCUCUGUUGCCAGGAACAACUCUUCUGUACGCAUAACUAUAAGAUGAAUCCCCUUUCUUGCCCCAGAGAGGGUUUCUCUGUGUAGCUCUGGCUGCCCUGGAACUCGAUCUGUAGUCCAGGCUGGCCUCAGACUCACAGAGCGCCUCCUGCCUCUGCCUCCCAAGUGUUGAAAUUAAAAGUGUGCACACUA